AGAGUUUGAUCCUGGCUCAGGAUGAACGCUGGCGGCGUGCCUAAUACAUGUAAGUCGAACGAGGGAGUUUUUGUAGCAAUACGGAGACUUUCCUAGUGGCGAACGGGUGAGUAACGCGUGGAUGAUCUGCCCCGAAGUGUGGGAUAACGGUUCGAAAGGACUGCUAAUACCGCAUGUGGUUACGGAGAUUAGAGGCUUUGUAACUAAAGGAGCAAUUCGCUUCGGGAGGAAUCUGCGUCCCAUCAGCUAGUUGGUGAGGUAACGGCCCACCAAGGCGACGACGGGUAGGGGGCCUGAGAGGGUGGCCCCCCACAAUGGAAUUGAAACACGGUCCAUACACCUACGGGUGGCAGCAGUAGGGAAUAUUGCACAAUGGGCGAAAGCCUGAUGCAGCAACGCCGCGUGCGCGAUGAAGGCCUUCGGGUCGUAAAGCGCUUUUCGGGGAGAUGAGGAAGGACAGUAUCCCCGGAAUAAGUCUCGGCUAACUACGUGCCAGCAGCCGCGGUAAAACGUAGGAGGCAAGCGUUAUCCGAAUUUACUGGGCGUAAAGCGUGUGCAGGCGGUUCGGUAAGUUGGAUGUGAAAUCUCCUGGCUCAACUGGGAGAGGUCGUUCAAUACUGUCGGACUAGAGGGUGGUAGAGGGAGGUGGAAUUCCGGGUGUAGUGGUGAAAUGCGUAGAUAUCCGGAGGAACACCUGUGGCGAAAGCGGCCUCCUGGACCAUACCUGACGCUCAUACACGAAAGCUAGGGGAGCGAACGGGAUUAGAAACCCCGGUAGUCCUAGCCGUAAACGAUGUAGACUGGGUGUCGGAGGGAUAAAAGCCUUCGGUGCCGAAGCCAACGCGAUAAGUCUACCGCCUGGGGACUACGGCCGCAAGGUUAAAACUCAAAGGAAUUGAUGG
rnacentral:rRNA from 1 species